GAAAUAAGAGAAAACAUUGUUUUCAGAUAAAAAAAGUAAUACAGCAAAUGGUAAAAAAAAUACACAAAAUCAUGGCAAACUUUGAUUUACUGAGAGACCAGUUGAAAAUGUUAGUAAAAACACAGAAAGAAGCUUGUGUACAAUGUAAUUUUCAUUUUCAUAUAUAAGAAACAUAAUAUAUGGCUCCGAUGAAUGAUACAAAAAUAUAUAAUAAUACUUCGUGCAUACAAA
rnacentral:lncRNA from 1 species